UACAGAGGGGGCAAGCGUUAUUCGGAAUUAUUGGGCGUAAAGCGCACGUAGGCGGCUUCUUAAGUCAGGGGUGAAAUCCUGGAGCUCAACUCCAGAACUGCCUUUGAUACUGGGAAGCUUGAGUCCGGGAGAGGUGAGUGGAACUGCGAGUGUAGAGGUGAAAUUCGUAGAUAUUCGCAAGAACACCAGUGGCGAAGGCGGCUCACUGGCCCGGUACUGACGCUGAGGUGCGAAAGCGUGGGGAGCAAACAGG
rnacentral:rRNA from 1 species